rnacentral:rRNA from 1 species
AGCGAACGCUGGCGGCAGGCUUAACACAUGCAAGUCGAGCGGGCACUUUCGGGUGUUAGCGGCGGACGGGUGGGUAACGCGUGGGAACGUGCCCUCUGGUUCGGAAUAUCUCAGGGUAACUUGAGCUAAUACCGGAUAAGCUCUUUUGGGGAAAGGCUUGCUGCCGGAGGAUCGGCUCGCGACUGAUUAGUUAGCUGGUGAGGUUAGGGCUCACCAAGGCGCCGUUCAGUAGCGGGGCUGUGAGGAUGUGCAGCCACAAUGAGAGUAAGACGCGGCCCGGACUCCUACGGGAUGCAGGAGUGGGGAAUAGUGGACAGUGGGGGCAAGCCUGAUGCAGCCAGGCCGCGAGAGUGAUGAAGGCCUUAGAGAUGUAAAGCUCUUUUAUCCAGGACGGUAUUGACGGUACCGGAGGAAUAAGCCCCGGCUAACUUCGUG